UAUCUAUUUUUCUAUAGUCCAGUUCACAGAGGACAUUUGCUUGCACUGUCUUAUUCAAUCCUUACAACUAAGUUGAGAUAUGGUCAAGGAUAUAACAAAAAUUAACAAACAAAAAGCCUGAAUUUAUAACAUUUGCCACUUUCCAUGGUGUGACUACUCCUACUGUGGCUCAUCUGAAGUGACCAACAUGAGAUCACUGCAUGCCAAGGUGAGAGGAGAUGCAGUCCAUAGCUGGCCCCAGCACACCACCGUAUGCGGUGGGGAUAAUCUCCAGUCAGAUACUGAAGAGAUACGGGACUUCCUCAUGAUCACGCACAGCCAACAGUGGAAGAUCUGGGACUCAACCCAGAUGCAAAUUGUAUGCUUUGGUUAUGACACCACCCUGCCCCACAGCAAUUUUCUUCAGACAUCUGAAGGGCUUCUGUGGAGAACAGCUGCCGUCUAGGGUGCCCCAGAAGACAACAUAAGAGUCAAUGCGGAUUCUGGUUGUAAGGAUGUUUUGAAUUCCCAAACCUAGAAUCACUUGAUGUCUUUUUGAGACCAAAGAAGGCAAGAGAAGGGAAGAGAAGAGGAGAGAAUAAAGAGAAAGAAAAGUUGCUCUGGAGAAAACCAGCUACCACAUCCUGAGGCACUCAUACAGGCUGUGAGAGGGUCAUGCUGUAAGGGACUCGGCCAACAGUAAAGCCUGCUGAAACCACAUGACUGAGCUUGCAAGCAGAGCCCGCCCCGCUGAGCCUUCAGAUGACUGCAGCCCUGGCAAAGAGCUUAACUGCAACCUCGGGAGGGACUGGAUCUGGGCAGCCCCGCACCCAUGCUGACGUACGGGAGGCACGUGGGCUGGGGCUGUCAGGCCGGCGUCUCUCAGGAGGACUCCCAGACAAACUCCACUUUACAAGACCAGCUCUAGCCAGAAGCACACCCAGGAGUGCUGGAGAACAGAAACCACAGCUGUGUGGAUCCUAAACCAGGAUUACAGUUGGUGUGAUUCACUCACCAAGAGGCCCAGCUAUUAAUCUCCCCUCAGAGACCAUGGCUGCCUCUCAGGACGGAUGAGAGGGUGCAACCUGAAAGGAUAAGGCAUCGAUUCAUUCUUCAGAAAACGCAAGAACCAUCCUAGCUUUGGGAAGGCUGCAUGCCUAGGACCAGAAGUUUGGCCUGGAAAGUCUGUGACUUGCUCAGUUUGCAUUCCUCUGCUGUGCUGAUGCCCAGGCCCUCAGUUCCCCAGAGGGAAUGAACAAGGACACUUUUUGAAGACUUUCUGCAAAUACCUCACUGGAAACCUUACUUUUCCAGGGGCCAGGCUUGCCAGACAAUCGUCAAGCAACAGUUGGCCUCCCUUGAGGAAGAUAUGAACAAGAAGCCAUUCAAAAGCAUUAUCUUAUAGAAACUAAAUUUCAAAACAAGCAGGAAACCACAGCUCAGGCAUGAGCUGUGUUCAGCAACCUGGGUUCACACAAAGACAGACAAGAAUAGGCUUUGCACAAUCCUAUCACCUCCCGUUUAUGAUUUCUAAGCAGUUUAUUUAUCCUGAUUGCAUUGGGGGAAGAUUAUGCUGGUGGAACGCUGAGCACUAAGGACAAGGCACCAGAUGAUUUGAUCGAGAUCAAGUCAGCAUUGAGUUGCUAUUUUUGACUCCCAAUUUCAUUUUCUGCCCUUUCUUCUGUGAAAAUGUAAGCUGGAACACACCUGAGACAGCACAGAAAAUGCAGAGCUUCAAUCUUUUCCUUUGUCUCUGAAGGAGCCAUGCAUUCAGAGGUGUGCCGGGGCUGGGGGCUUGGGGCAGAGUCCCUGCAAGGGUCACCUGUGUCGCGGACUCCUGCAUAUCACAUCUUCUUCUGCAGCAGGGAAGGGAAGGAGAGCAGGAAGAACAGGCAGAGGAAAGCCCAGAAACUCAGGCCAGCCUAGGAGACAGCAGCGAGGACUGCUGUUCUGAAACAGCCAGGAAUGCAGAAUCCUGGCUCCACAGAGGUAUGGUCCCUAUCUCAGGGAGAUUAACUCCAAGAGAGAAACAGGUAUUCUGAGUCUAGUCAUGCAGAGAAGCAACAACACCACAUGCAGAUCAACAGAAAACACAAAAAAUGUCAUCUUCUUAAUUAUUGAGUGUGUUGGGAAAAAGGAAUUCUCAUACCCUGUUGAUAGGAAAUAAACUGGAAAAACUUUGUCGGUUGACAACUUAGUAAUGUAUGUUUGAGGCACAGACAAUGCUCUGUGUUCACCAAACUGUUUUCUUUCUGGACACACAGGAUGACUACAUUUCUCAGACUCCCUUGCAGUUAGAAGUGGUCAUGUGACUGAGCUCUGGACAAUUGGAAGGUAGGCAGAGGUGAUGUGGGUCACUUCCAAGCCUGGCCCUAAAGCCAGUGGUGCAAUUCUCCAUUCCCUCUUUCUCUUUUCUCUUUCUCUUUCUCCCUUUGCUUAUCAUCUGAAAUCAGAGGAUUCAGUGGA